rnacentral:misc_RNA from 1 species
UCCGAGUUGACCCCGGCAGUCUCCCGUGAGUCCCCAACCCGCCAAAGACGGUUGCUGGCAACACAGGACAAGGGUUGCGCUCGUUGCGGGACUUAACCCAACAUCUCACGACACGAGCUGACGACAGCCAUGCACCACCUGUCACGGGCCCUUACGGACACUGUGUUUCCACAGUUUUUCCCGUGAUGUCAAACCCAGGUAAGGUUCUUCGGGUUGCAUCGAAUUAAGCCGCAUGCUCCGCCGCUUGUGCGGGACCCCGUCAAUUCCUUUGAGUUUUAGCCUUGCGGCCGUACUCCCCAGGCGGGGCACUUAAUGCGUUAGCUACGGCACGGACGACGUGGAAUGCCGCCCACACCUAGUGCCCACCGUUUACGGCGUAGACUAC